GUGGGGAAUCUUGCGCAAUGGGCGAAAGCCUGACGCAGCCAUGUCGCGUGGAUGAUGAAGGUCUUAGGAUUGUAAAAUCCUUUCACCGGUGAAGAUAAUGACUGUAGCCGGAGAAGAAGCCCCGGCUAACUUCGUGCCAGCAGCCGCGGUAAUACGAAGGGGGCUAGCGUUGCUCGGAUUUACUGGGCGUAAAGGGCGCGUAGGCGGACAUUUAAGUCAGGGGUGAAAUCCCGGGGCUCAACCUCGGAACUGCCUUUGAUACUGGGUGUCUUGAGUAUGAGAGAGGUGUGUGGAACUCCGAGUGUAGAGGUGAAAUUCGUAGAUAUUCGGAAGAACACCAGUGGCGAAGGCGACACACUGGCUCAUUACUGACGCUGAGGCGCGAAAGCGUGGGGAGCAAACAGGAUUAGAUACCCUGGUAGUCC
rnacentral:rRNA from 1 species